rnacentral:lncRNA from 1 species
AAUGCGAAGAAAUGGUCUAAUAUUGCUGCACAAUAUUGUGCCCUCAUUGUCAGCAGGAAAAAGGAUACCGAGCUUUACACAGCAAAGGGCAGCAUGAAUGUUGACAGCCCCAAUGGCAGUAGCCAAGGUGGUUUCCAGGAUACCAUGAUUCAUUGCAUUUUUGCAGUGGUAAAAAGUAUUAGGACAAUCCAUUAUUUCAGAGCCAUGAUGUCCAAAGUGGUAUGAUGUUGGUAUUAAUGUCAGCUGUCAACUGCAAGAAAAGCUUCCAGCACGAACAGAUUUUCAUGUCAUUAUAUGAACAGAAUAAAAGGGGGAACCAGUUGUGUGUAAUAAGAACAAGAAGGGAAAAUCCAUUCCACAGACAAUCACCAUUACUUAAUUGCCUUUUGCUGUUGAAAAGUACUUCAACUGGUGUUUCUCCUGCUGUAUUUGAAAACUGGUCCACUCACCCCUGAUGAGUAAUUAUAUAAUUGAGAUUUAUUUACACAAAAGCUACCUACAGUCAUGGUUUCAGAGAUUAGCUGCCCUCGGGUUGGUCAGCAAUAAGUAGCACUGAAAUGAAACAUUUAUUAUGUGCAGCAGGAUUCAAGGAGGGUGAUAAUUCAAGUGUAGUGAUAACUAGUCUAAAGAGACAGUUGCCUGGAUAUUUCAUUUCUCAUUGUAUAUUCGGAGAUAAAAGAAAGUAUAGCUGAAUUU